rnacentral:rRNA from 1 species
CAGUCGCCGCGGGAAUACGAAGGGUGCAAGCGUUACUCGGAAUUACUGGGCGUAAAGCGUGCGUAGGUGGUGGUUUAAGUCCGUUGUGAAGGCCCUGGGCUCAACCUGGGAAUUGCAGUGGAUACUGGGUCACUAGAGUGUGGUAGAGGAUAGUGGAAUUUCCGGUGUAGCAGUGAAAUGCGUAGAGAUCGGAAGGAACAUCUGUGGCGAAGGCGACUAUCUGGGCCAACACUGACACUGAGGCACGAAAGCGUGGGGAGCAAACAGGAUUAGAUACCCCUGUAGUCCCUGUCUCUUAUAC